AGAUCAUUUACACUUCACUCUGACAACAUGCUGUGGAUCCUCUGCACUCUCAUUACUGCUCUAACGUAUGUUGAUGCAGUGAUCGUUUUGACCCAAACACCUGCUGUCCACACAGUUUCUCCAGGUCAAGAAGUUGUUCUCAACUGCAACAUAGAGAGAGAUGAUGGGAAUUAUGUUAGAUGGUAUAAACAAGUUCCUGGAACGGUUCCUCAGUAUGUUCUAAGUUUUCAUUAUUCUGACAGCUCACCCAGCUUUGGAACAGGAUUCUCCUCAGACAGAUUCAACUCUAAAUCCUCAUCAGACAUUGAUUACCAGUUCAUUAUCAAGCGAGCAGAGACAGGAGACUCUGCAGUGUAUUACUGUCAGACAAGGGAUGACUCUGCUUCUGCACCCGUAUUCGGACAAGGCACCAAGCUGAUUGUGACAAGCUCCAGCCUCCCUCCUCCUGUCCUGACAGUCUUCCCUCCGUCCAGUGCUGAGCUCCAGUCCAACACAGCUUCUCUGGUCUGUCUGUCCAGUCAGUCUGUGCCUUUUGAAGAUGUGAGCUGGUUGGCUGCUGGGAGUCCAGUGAGCAGUGAGAUCUCUACCAGCACUGCUGUUCAGAGACCAGACCAGACUUACCAAAUCAGCAGCUCUCUGACCAUCCAGACAUCAGACUGGAACAUGGAUAAGGUUUAUACAUGUAAAGUGUCUUUGGGCUCACAGACUUCAGAGAAAACCAUCAAGAAGUCAGAAUGUCCCACUGAAUAGUCGAGGACCAGAAUGUGCAUUUAAAAUCUGCUUCUUUACUGCUUGUGCUGUUUGCUCAUUACAGUCUUUACAUGUUAGAAAUCAGAAUAAAGCAAAAGGUUUAAGUCAUGUAUUCAUCUGCAGAUUGUUAACAAGUAUUUUCAGGAAUUCAUGUUUUGCAAUAAAUUAAUAAAAGCAUUGGUUAAAAUAAA